rnacentral:rRNA from 1 species
CCCUUAGAUGUUCUGGGCCGCACGCGCGCUACACUGACGAAGUCAGCGAGCAUGUCCUACGCCGACAGGUGCGGGGAAUCUUGUCAAACUUCGUCGUGAUGGGGAUUGAUUAUUGAAAUUCUUGAUCAUCAACGAGGAAUUCCUAGUAAGCGCAAGUCAGCAGCUUGCGUUGAUUACGUCCCUGCCCUUUGUACACACCGCCCGUCGCACCUACCGAUUGGAUGGUCCGGUGAAGCCUCGGGAUUGUGGUUCUUGCCGCUUUAUUGUGGCGUGACCGCGAGAACUUGUCUAAACCUUAUCAUCUAGAGGAAGGUGAAGUCGUAACA